rnacentral:rRNA from 1 species
AUUGAACGCUGGCGGCAUGCCUUACACAUGCAAGUCGAACGGCAGCACGGGUGCUUGCCCCUGGUGGCGAGUGGCGAACGGGUGAGUAAUACAUCGGAACAUGUCCUGUAGUGGGGGAUAGCCCGGCGAAAGCCGGAUUAAUACCGCAUACGAUCCACGGAUGAAAGCGGGGGACCUUCGGGCCUCGCGCUAUAGGGUUGGCUGAUGGCUGAUUAGCUAGUUGGUGGGGUAAAGGCCUACCAAGGCGACGAUCAGUAGCUGGUCUGAGAGGACGACCAGCCACACUGGGACUGAGACACGGCCCAGACUCCUACGGGAGGCAGCAGUGGGGAAUUUUGGACAAUGGGCGAAAGCCUGAUCCAGCAAUGCCGCGUGUGUGAAGAAGGCCUUCGGGUUGUAAAGCACUUUUGUCCGGAAAGAAAUCCUUGACUCUAAUACAGUCGGGGGAUGACGGUACCGGAAGAAUAAGCACCGGCUAACUACGUG